rnacentral:rRNA from 1 species
CCUACGGGAGGCAGCAGUGGGGAAUAUUGCACAAUGGGGGAAACCCUGAUGCAGCGACGCCGCGUGAGUGAAGAAGUAUUUCGGUAUGUAAAGCUCUAUCAGCAGGGAAGAAAAUGACGGUACCUGAUUAAGAAGCCCCGGCUAACUACGUGCCAGCAGCCGCGGUAAUACGUAGGGGGCAAGCGUUAUCCGGAUUUACUGGGUGUAAAGGGAGCGUAGACGGCAGCACAAGUCUGGAGUGAAAUGCCGGGGCUUAACCCCGGAACUGCUUUGGAACCUGUGCAGCUGGAGUGCAGGAGAGGUAAGUGGAAUUCCUAGUGUAGCGGUGAAAUGCGUAGAUAUUAGGAGGAACACCAGUGGCGAAGGCGGCUUACUGGACUGUAACUGACGUUGAGGCUCGAAAGCGUGGGGAGCAAACAGGAUUAGAUACCCUUGUAGUC